rnacentral:rRNA from 1 species
UACAGAGGUCCCGAGCGUUGUUCGGAUUCAUUGGGCGUAAAGGGUGCGCAGGCGGCGGGGUAAGUCUGAUGUGAAAUCCCGGAGCUCAACUCCGGAACUGCACUGGAUACUGCUCCGCUAGAGUAACUGGAGAGGAACUGGAAUUUACGGUGAUAGCAGUGAAAUGCGUAGAGAUCGUAAGGAAGACCAGUGGCGAAGGCGAGUUUCUGGACAGUUACUGACGCUGAGGCACGAAGGCCAGGGAGCAAACGG